GCUCCGGUGGCCUUGUGGUUAGAGCGUCCGCCUCGGAUGCGGGAGGUCGGGUCGUUGGUUCGAACCCCGGUUGAGUCA